AUCAUAAGCCUGUCUUCUGUUUCAGAUAUAGUCGGGCUUACCUCCAUGCUCUGUUUAAGAGUGACACUGCAGCCAUGCAUUACAUCACCAUCCACAACAUCGCCUACCAGCUCACCCUGAUGCGCUCUGUGAGACGGAGCAUCGUGGACGGCUGCUUCCCCGAGUUCAUACGGACAUUCAUGAAGCGAAUGUUUCCCUCUCGGGACCAGUACCCCGGCUGGGCCGUGGACGCUCUGGCCUCCGUCGACGUUACGUUGGAAUAGAUCUUGGAAGGCAGCCGUCGUGCUCUCAGUGGGGCUGUCAAAGACUGACUGAAAGAUUUUUAAAUGACUUUUUUUAUGAGUGAUUGUUUGUUGUUUUUACUCUUUGUUUAUAUUUGUAUAUAAAUUGCCAGUUUUGUUGGCGAUGAGGAAAAUGUCUUUUGGUCUGAAGGCAUAACGCCUGAUUGUCUUUUGCGUCACUCAGCCGCUGCAAACUGUCCUCGGUACACAUUACGAUGAUGUGAGACUGAAUGGGGUUUGAAUGAGGUUUGAAACACGUGAACUAUCUCCUCUGAUAUGCUCAGACACUUUUUGUUGUUACCAUGGCUACAGAGCUAUAGGCCCACCCACUUGAAAUUAAAUGUUUCGCCUUUC